UGAGUUUCAUCUCACAAAAAUCCUCAC
rnacentral:piRNA from 1 species